ACGGGAGGCAGCAGUGGGGGUUAUUGCACAAUGGGGGAAACCCUGAUGCAGCGACGCCGCGUGAGUGAAGAAGUAUUUCGGUAUGUAAAGCUCUAUCAGCAGGAAAGAUAAUGACGGUACCUGACUAGGAAGCACCGGCUAAAUACGUGCCAGCAGCCGCGGUAAUACGUAUGGUGCAAGCGUUAUCCGGAUUUACUGGGUGUAAAGGGAGCGCAGACGGCAUGGCAAGCCAGAUGUGAAAGGCAGGGGCUCAACUCCUGGACUGCAUUUGGAACUGUCAAGCUAGAGUAUCGGAGAGGUAAGUGGAAUUCCUAGUGUAGCGGUGAAAUGCGUAGAUAUUAGGAGGCACACCAGUGGCGAAGGCGGCUUACUGGACGAUAACUGACGUUGAGGCUCGAAAGCGUGGGGAGCAAACAGGAUUAGAUACCCUGGUA
rnacentral:rRNA from 1 species